GGUAGUGGUAAUAGGAUAACAGCGAAAGAUGCAAGUGAAGGAUUUUCAAACAUCUAUAUUCCUAUUAUUAAUAAAAAAUUAUCCAACAAAAUUUAUACACGCGCAACAAGUUCUCUAUGACUAAAUCUUAGCAAAUACAAAACACACAAAAGAUUUACAAAUAAGAUAUUGCUUGAUUUUAAUAAGCAAUUUAAUAGAUCAACACACGUUUAGAAAUUAUUUGCAAAAUAUUAGUUUUCAGAUGAUACUGAAUGUAGAAUAAUUAUUCAAAGCAUACAUUAAAGAUGACACAUAAACUAAUACCUGAAACAUUAACCAUCAAACAUGUUAUUUUCAAACCCAUAAUUAAGCCAAAGAUGCAGUUUACACUCUCUCUCUAUGCAUUGUAAUAAUAAUAUAACAUUCAGACUUAUGUUCUCUUGUGCUUAUAAUUGCUUGAUUUGUUGAGACUUACCCUGUUUAUUUUACUAUACAUUGCAAGAGCGAUUGAAAGAAGCUAAAAUCAAAACAUGGAAAAGUUCAACUUGGCAACAUCACUGUGGAUAUGGUUAUAGGUGGAAUGAGAGGAAUGACUGGAUUAUUGUGAGAAACAUCAUUACUUGAUCCUGAUGACGUGAGUUUGAUUGUAAUUUAUGCUAUGUAUUGAAGACAAGUGCACUUUUU